ensembl:snRNA U6 U6 spliceosomal RNA
GUGCUUGCUUCAGCAGCACAUAUAGUAAAGUUGGAACAAUACAGAGAAGAUUAGCAUGGCCCCUGCACAAGGGUGACACAGAAAUCUGUGAAGCGUUUCAUAUUUUU